rnacentral:rRNA from 1 species
GCCUCAAGUAUUACCUGCGGGGGUAGAGCACUGUUUUGGCUAGGGGGUCAUGGCGACUUACCAAACCAAGGCAAACUCCGAAUACCGCAGAGUACAGCUUGGGAGACAGAGCACCGGGUGCUAACGUCCGGACUCAAGAGGGAAACAACCCAGACCGCCAGCUAAGGUCCCUAAAAUUGGCUAAGUGGGAAACGAAGUGGGAAGGCUAAAACAGUCAGGAUGUUGGCUUAGAAGCAGCCAUCAUUUAAAGAAAGCGUAAUAGCUCACUGAUCGAGUCGUCCUGCGCGGAAGAUGUAACGGGGCUAAGCCAGUUACCGAAGCUGCGGAUGUGCAAUUUAUUGCACGUGGUAGGAGAGCGUUCUGUAAGCCUGUGAAGGUGUCUGGUAACGGAUGCUGGAGGUAUCAGAAGUGCGAAUGCUGACAUGAGUAGCGUUAAAAGGGGUGAAAAGCCCCUUCGCCGUAAGCGCAAGGUUUCCUACGCAACGUUCAUCGGCGUAGGGUGAGUCGGCCCCUAAGGCGAGGCAGAGAUGCGUAGCUGAUGGGAAACAGGUCAAUAUUCCUGUACCGAUCAAUAGUGCGAUGUGGGGACGGAGAAGGUUAGCUCAGCCACCUGUUGGAAUAGGUGGUUCAAGCGUGUAGUCGUGCCUGGUAGGCAAAUCCGCCGGGCUUAGAUGAGGCGUGAUAACGAGUGUGCUUGCACACGAAGUGAGUGAUACCCUGCUUCCAGGAAAAGCCACUAAGCUUCAGCUAUUGAUUGACCGUACCGCAAACCGACACUGGUGCGCGAGAUGAGUAUUCUAAGGCGCUUGAGAGAACUCUGGAGAAGGAACUCGGCAAAUUGAUACCGUAACUUCGGGAGAAGGUAUGCCCUCGGUAUGUGAAGUUGAACAAACGGAGCAGAAAAGGGUUGCAAAAAAUCGGUGGCUGCAACUGUUUAAUAAAAACACAGCACUCUGCAAACACGAAAGUGGACGUAUAGGGUGUGACGCCUGCCCGGUGCUGGAAGAUUAAAUGAUGGGGUGCAAGCUCUUGAUUGAAGUCCCAGUAAACGGCGGCCGUAACUAUAACGGUCCUAAGGUAGCGAAAUUCCUUGUCGGGUAAGUUCCGACCUG